AAUGAACGCUGGCGGCAUGCCUAACACAUGCAAGUCGAACGAGACCUUCGGGUCUAGUGGCGCACGGGUGCGUAACGCGUGGGAAUCUGCCCUUGGGUUCGGAAUAACAGUGAGAAAUUACUGCUAAUACCGAAUGAUGACGUAAGUCCAAAGAUUUAUCGCCCAGGGAUGAGCCCGCGUAGGAUUAGCUAGUUGGUGAGGUAAAAGCUCACCAAGGCGACGAUCCAGCUGGUCUGAGAGGACGACCAGCCACACUGGGACUGAGACACGGCCCAGACUCCUACGGGAGGCAGCAGUGGGGAAUAUUGGACAAUGGGGGCAACCCUGAUCCAGCAAUGCCGCGUGUGUGAAGAAGGCC
rnacentral:rRNA from 1 species